rnacentral:rRNA from 1 species
CAGGUAGUGGUGGGUGUAGCGUACCUACUAGCCUACGACGGGUACGGGUUGUGAGAGCAAGAGCCCGGAGAUGGAUUCUGAGACACGAAUCCAGGCCCUACGGGGUGCAGCAGGCGCGAAAACUUUACAAUGCUGGAAACAGCGAUAAGGGGACCUCGAGUGCCAGGUUACAAAUCUGGCUGUCGUGAUGCCUAAAAAGCAUUGCAUGGCAAGGGCCGGGCAAGACCGGUGCCAGCCGCCGCGGUAACACCGGCGGCUCGAGUGGUAACCGUUAUUAUUGGGUCUAAAGGGUCUGUAGCCGGCCGGAUAAGUCUCUUGGGAAAUCAGCAGCUCAACUGUUGGGCUUUCAGGAGAUACUGUCUGGCUCGAGGCCGGGAGAGGUGAGAGGUACUUCAGGGGUAGGGGUGAAAUCUUGUAAUCCUUGAAGGACCACCAGUGGCGAAGGCGUCUCACCAGAACGGACCUGACAGCAAGGGACGAAAGCUAGGGGCACGAACCGGAUUAGAUACCCGGGUAGUCCUAGCCGUAAACGAUACUCGCUAGGUGUCGGCCACGGUGCGACCGUUGUCGGUGCCGUAGGGAAGCCGUGAAGCGAGCCACCUGGGAAGUACGGCCGCAAGGCUGAAACUUGAAGGAAUUGGCGGGGGAGCACCACAACGGGUGGAGCUUGCGGUUUAAUUGGAUCCAACGCCGGAAAUCUUACCGGGACCGACAGCAAUAUGAAGGCCAGGCUGAAGACUUUGCCGGAUUAGCUGAGAGGUGGUGCAUGGCCGUCGUCAGUUCGUACUGUGAAGCAUCCUGUUAAGUCAGGCAACGAGCGAGACCCACGCCCACAGUUGCCAGCGUACUCUCCGGAGUGACGGGUACACUGUGGGGACCGCCGCUGCUAAAGCGGAGGAAGGAAUGGGCAACGGUAGGUCAGUAUGCCCCGAAUAUCCCGGGCUACACGCGAGCUACAAUGGUUGGUACAAUGGGUAUCUACCCCGAAAGGGGAUGGAAAUCUCCUAAAGCCAAUCUUAGUUCGGAUUGAGGGCUGCAACUCGCCCUCAUGAAGCUGGAAUCCGUAGUAAUCGCGUUUCAACAGAACGCGGUGAAUACGUCCCUGCUCCUUGCACACACCGCCCGUCAAACCACCCGAGUAGGGUCUGAAUGAGAGCGCUUCCUUCGGAGGCGUUCGAAUUUGGGCUUUGCAAGGGGGGUUAAGUCGUAACAAGGUA